GUGAGUCAUCGAGUCUUUGAACGCACCUUGCGCUCCCUGGUAUUCCGGGGAGCACGCCUGUUCGAGCGUCAUGAAGCUCUCAAACAUAUACUUUUCUUUAUUGCGAAGUAUAUGGUUGGAUUUGGACUCUGCUGUGUAACAAACGGCUGGUCCGAAAGAUAUUAGCUGAUCCUAGUGAGACUUGGUUCUACUCGGCGUGAUAAUUAUCUAACGUCGAGGACAUCGCAAGAUGGCCAGAUCGAAACUUUAUGGAUUGCUUCUAAUCGUCUUCUAUCGACAAAUUUUUAUCAAUCUGACCUCGAAUCAGGUGGGACUACCCGCUGAACUUAAGCAUAUCAAUAAGCGGAGG
rnacentral:rRNA from 1 species